rnacentral:rRNA from 1 species
UAGUCCACGCCGUAAACGAUGGGCACUAGGUGUUGGGUUGGCCUCACGGUUGAUUCGGUGCCGCAGCUAACGCAUUAAGUGCCCCGCCUGGGGAGUACGCUCGCAAGGGUGAAACUCAAAGGAAUUGACGGGGGCCCGCACAAGCGGUGGAGCAUGUGGUUUAAUUCGAUGCAACGCGAAGAACCUUACCGGGGCUUGAACUGCCGGGUAAACCCUGUGAAAGCAGGACUGCUCUUCGGAGCGACCCGGUAGAGGUGCUGCAUGGCUGUCGUCAGCUCGUGUCGUGAGAUGUUGGGUUAAGUCCCGCAACGAGCGCAACCCUUGCCCUUAGUUGCCAGCAGGUCAAGCUGGGCACUCUAAGGGGACUGCCGGUGAUAAACUGGGAGGAAGGUGGGGAUGACGUCAAGUCCUCAUGGGCCCUUACGUCCCGGGGCUACACACGUGCUACAAUGG